rnacentral:rRNA from 1 species
GUGCAGCAGUCGAGAAUUUUUCUCAAUGGGGGAAACCCUGAAGGAGCGACGCCGCGUGGAGGAUGAAGGCUUUCGGGUUGUAAACUCCUGUCAUUUGGGAACAAGUUGCACACGUUAACUGCGUGGGCAUUGAUAGUACCAGAAGAGGAAGGGACGGCUAACUCUGUGCCAGCAGCCGCGGUAAUACAGAGGUCCCAAGCGUUGUUCGGAUUCAUUGGGCGUAAAGGGUGCGUAGGUGGCGCUGUAAGUCGGGUGUGAAAUUUCGAGGCUUAACCUCGAAACUGCAUUCGAUACUGCGGUGCUUGAGGACUGGAGAGGAGACUGGAAUUCAUGGUGUAGCAGUGAAAUGCGUAGAGAUCAUGAGGAAGACCAGUGGCGAAGGCGGGUCUCUGGACAGUUCCUGACACUGAGGCACGAAGGCCAGGGGAGCAAACGGGAUUAGAUACCCGCGUAGU